rnacentral:rRNA from 1 species
UACGUAGGGGGCUAGCGUUGUCCGGAAUCAUUGGGCGUAAAGAGCGUGUAGGCGGCCCGGUAAGUCCGCUGUGAAAGUCGGGGGCUCAACCCUCGAAUGCCGGUGGAUACUGUCGGGCUAGAGUGCGGAAGAGGCGAGUGGAAUUCCUGGUGUAGCGGUGAAAUGCGCAGAUAUCAGGAGGAACACCAAUUGCGAAGGCAGCUCGCUGGGACGUAACUGACGCUGAGGUGCGAAAGCUAGGGGAGCAAACGGG